rnacentral:piRNA from 1 species
UGGACUUGCCAAGUUAACUAC